rnacentral:rRNA from 1 species
GAAGCCGGAAUUGCUAGUAAUGGCAGGUCAGCAUACUGCCGUGAAUACGUUCCCGGGCCUUGUACACACCGCCCGUCACACCAUGAGAGUUGGGAAUACCCGAAGCCUGUGAGCUAACAUUUAUGAGGCAGCAGUCGAAGGUAGAAUCAAUGAUUGGGGGUGAAGUCGUAACAAGGUAUC